rnacentral:tRNA from 2 species
UCCGGCGUAGAGUAAUUGGCAACUCACCAGAUUUUGGUUCUGGGUAUUCCAGGUUCGAAUCCUGGCGCCGGAG